AGAGUUUGAUCAUGGCUCAGAAUGAACGCUGGCGGCGUGCCUAACACAUGCAAGUCGAACGGUAAGGCCCCUUCGGGGGUACACGAGUGGCGAACGGGUGAGUAACGCGUGGGUAACCUACCCAGAAGUGGGGGAUAGCUCCGGGAAACCGGGGGUAAUACCGCAUAAGCCCCAGAUGACGCAAGUUGACUGGGGGACAGGCGGGGAUCUUCGGACCUGCCGCUUUUGGAUGGGCCCGCGUCCGAUUAGCUAGUUGGUGAGGUAAUGGCUCACCAAGGCAACGAUCGGUAGCCGGCCUGAGAGGGUGAUCGGCCACAUUGGGACUGAGACACGGCCCAGACUCCUACGGGAGGCAGCAGUGGGGAAUUUUGGGCAAUGGGGGAAACCCUGACCCAGCGACGCCGCGUGGGGGAUGAAGGUCUUCGGAUUGUAAACCCCUGUCAGGUGGGAAGAAGGAUGUACCGGCUAAUCUCCGGCGCAUUUUGACGGUACCACCAAAGGAAGCCCCGGCUAACUCCGUGCCAGCAGCCGCGGUAAUACGGAGGGGGCAAGCGUUAUUCGGAUUUACUGGGCGUAAAGCGCACGUAGGUGGCAAAAUAAGUCAAAGGUGAAAGCCCUCGGCUCAACCGAGGAAUUGCCUUUGAAACUGUUUUGCUUGAGUCCAGGAGGGGGGAGCGGAAUUCCCAGUGUAGCGGUGAAAUGCGUAGAUACUGGGAGGAACACCGGUGGCGAAGGCGGCUCCCUGGACUGGUACUGACACUGAGGUGCGAAAGCGUGGGUAGCAAACAGGAUUAGAUACCCUAGUAGUCC
rnacentral:rRNA from 1 species